AAUAACAGGGGGUGCCUCUGGGCAUGACGAACUGUCAGGGAGUGUAAUAAGCAGGCUCUCAGGUUGCCAGUGACUCCUAUGUUUGUACAGUCUUCUCUGUUGGGUGUGAAAGUAGACUCUGAGUACUCGUACUCUCAUGAUACACAGUGUUAUAUCGAAAGGGGGCAAGUCUGAGUUCAUCAGAUGGCCUCAUUAAAAACCUUAGAGUUUCUUCAGGGUGUUGAUAGAGGCCAAAGUUAGAGCGAUAUGUUUCGGCGAGUUUGAAAGGAAGGAGGCACUUCUGCUGAUAAUGGCCUUUGGGGACCACGACAAGGAACUACACACAAACUUCAGAAACCUCAGGCUACUGCUGACAACUGACAACCAGCAAACACUGAGAUCCUUAUCCUUGGACCUGGAAGCAGUGGGAGUCUGAGAGGUCAUGAAAGCCUGGAGAAACCCCCGAGGUCCAUGGUGAUCCCAGAAGCCGGAGUGAAGAUGCAGCCCACAUGAACCUUGUCUCCUGGGUGGGACUGAAGAGCAGAGCUUCUCACACUGGCUAGGCCAGAUGAGCAAGAAAUAAACUUGGGAAUUAGUUGAUACUAUCAACACUUGGAAAUACAGCUGAUGGGUCUGACAUUAGCAGCCUGCAUCCUGUUUAGGGAAGUCUGCUGCUCAGCCCACUGAUAAUGAGCAUCCAUGCUGGGCAUCACUGUGCUGAAGGCCCCACACCGCUGCAAGCCGAAAACGACGCUCACACUCAUCAUUUCCAGAGUACCAAAUAACUAAUGCUUUUGUUAUUUAGUUUAAAAUUCUGGAUUGACUUAGGCAUCUGGGGAAAACUAACCCUGUUAGCUUACAGAGAAAGGAAAGCCUGCAUUUCUGGUUUUGAUAAACUUGGAGUCUUUCUGAAGAAUGCAUGAAGUUAUUUUGCUGGUGUCUGCUCUGGAGUUGAUAGUCAAACAUAUCGCAGUUAACAAAGCUUCCUUUCCAGCAAGACU